rnacentral:rRNA from 1 species
UACGUAGGGGGCUAGCGUUGUCCGGAAUCAUUGGGCGUAAAGCGCGCGUAGGCGGCCCGGUAAGUCCGCUGUAAAAGUCAAAGGCUCAACCUUUGAAUGCCGGUGGAUACUGUCGGGCUAGAGUCCGGAAGAGGCGAGUGGAAUUCCUGGUGUAGCGGUGGAAUGCGCAGAUAUCAGGAGGAACACCAAUAGCGAAGGCAGCUCUCUGGGUCCCUACCGACGCUGGGGUGCGAAAGCAUGGGAGCGAACGAGG